UCUGAGAAUAUUUAUAACAAGAGUUCUAGGCUAAAUUCAAACACUAGUUCAAAGAGACUCCAAUUUAUGUUUAAAGAAGUGUAUGAAGAAGAGGCAAAAUCAUUACAGCUCUUCUAGAUGCCACUCUAGGUGACGUGGCCAUGAUGCCUAUGCCUGAGGCAGCGACUGGAACAGAGUCUGGGGAGUCUUGGAGCCAGAUACUAAAUACAGCAGGAAGCCACCUGAUGGGAAAGCUGCAGAAGUACACUGAGGAGCUCAUCUUCCGGAGCUAGCUGGUCUGGACAAGCCUGGAUAUAGAUGGUCUCCCUUUGAUCCUUUGAAUGAGAUCGAGGUCUACACAAGUAUGCUUAGCAAGCACGGAGCUGAAGUUUCCAUGCAGGCAUGGAAGGAAUCAGAAUAUCCAGAUGCCAUGGUCUGAAGAGAGAAAAGCCAGAAUGUUGGCUGAGAAUCAUGCUCGAAGAUGGUUUGCAAAACAAUCAGCUAAGCUGUCCGGUGAUUUCUAGGUGUCAAAUGCUGCAUCCAACCACUUUCUCAAAUGCCUUCUCUGGCUGCAAAUGGAAGAUUUGAAAUUGGAUCAUUUAAACAGGGACUGACAAAAGAGAUGUGAGACAUGUCCCAAAAGGCAUCCGUGACAAGGCCUGGGGAGAAUGCCCCCUGGAUAAUCUCACUGGCUGCCAAACCUGAGAACUGGAUUCAAUCCUGGGGACCCUUGUGGUUGAAGGAGAAAAACAACUUUCACUAGUUAUUCUCGGACCAACACUGGGGCUCCAUGAACACAAGUCUGAGGUCAGAGGAUUCCAUGAAGAGUUCAGAGCAUGAGUAGCUACAACUCGUUUGCUUCACAAGGAGUUUAAAAAUGUAUGACAAUACAAAAUGUUCAUCCCAAUUACACAUUUUCUUUGAGUAUCGGAUUUUGAUAGAAGAUGCCUUGAAUAUGAACUGAAUAGAUAGACUGGGAGCCAGAGCAGGAAAAGAGAAG
rnacentral:lncRNA from 1 species